rnacentral:rRNA from 1 species
AUUGAACGCUGGCGGAAUGCUUUACACAUGCAAGUCGAACGGCAGCACGGGAGCUUGCUCCUGGUGGCGAGUGGCGAACGGGUGAGUAAUGCGUCGGAACGUACCGAGUAAUGGGGGAUAACGCAGCGAAAGCUGUGCUAAUACCGCAUACGCCCUGAGGGGGAAAGUGGGGGAUCGCAAGACCUCACGUUAUUCGAGCGGCCGACGUCUGAUUAGCUAGUUGGUGGGGUAAUGGCCUACGAAGGCGAUGAUCAGUAGCGGGUCUGAGAGGAUGAUCCGCCACACUGGAACUGAGACACGGUCCAGACUCCUACGGGAGGCAGCAGUGGCGAAUUUUGGACAAUGGGGGCAACCCUGAUCCAGCCAUUCCGCGUGAGUGAAGAAGGCCUUCGGGUUGUAAAGCUCUUUCAGCUGGAACGAAACGGUACGCUCUAACAUAGCGUGCUAAUGACGGUACCGGCAGAAGAAGCACCGGCUAACUACGUGCCAGCAGCCGCGGUAAUACGUAGGGUGCGAGCGUUAAUCGGAAUUACUGGGCGUAAAGCGUGCGCAGGCGGAUUGUUAAGCAAGAUGUGAAAUCCCCGGGCUUAACCUGGGAAUGGCAUUUUGAACUGGCAGUCUAGAGUGCGUCAGAGGGGGGUGGAAUUCCACGUGUAGCAGUGCAAUGCGUAGAGAUGUGGAGGAACACCAAUGGCGAAGGCAGCCCCCUGGGAUGACACUGACGCUCAUGUACGAAAGCGUGGGUAGCAAACAGGAUUAGAUACCCUGGUAGUCCACGCCCUAAACGAUGUCAACUGGUUGUUGGG